AGGGGUAACAUUGUGCUUGCACAGAUGACGACCGGCGCACGGGUGCGUAACGCGUAUGCAAUCUACCUUUUACAGGGGAAUAGCCCAGAGAAAUUUGGAUUAAUGCCUCAUAGUAUAUAGUUGUGGCAUCACAAUUAUAUUAAAGAUUUAUCGGUAAAAGAUGAGCAUGCGUUCUAUUAGUUAGUUGGUAAGGUAACGGCUUACCAAGACUACGAUAGAUAGGGGCCCUGAGAGGGGGAUCCCCCACACUGGUACUGAGACACGGACCAGACUCCUACGGGAGGCAGCAGUGAGGAAUAUUGGACAAUGGGCGAGAGCCUGAUCCAGCCAUGCCGCGUGCAGGAAGACUGCCCUAUGGGUUGUAAACUGCUUUUAUACAGGAAGAAACACUCGGACGUGUCCGAGCUUGACGGUACUGUAAGAAUAAGGAUCGGCUAACUCCGUGCCAGCAGCCGCGGUAAUACGGAGGAUCCAAGCGUUAUCCGGAAUCAUUGGGUUUAAAGGGUCCGUAGGUGGAUGAUUAAGUCAGAGGUGAAAUCUUGCAGCUCAACUGUAAAAUUGCCUUUGAUACUGGUUAUCUUGAGUUAUUAUGAAGUAGUUAGAAUAUGUAGUGUAGCGGUGAAAUGCAUAGAUAUUACAUAGAAUACCAAUUGCGAAGGCAGAUUACUAAUAAUCAACUGACACUGAUGGACGAAAGCGUGGGUAGCGAACAGGAUUAGAUACCCUGGUAGUCCACGCCGUAAACGAUGGUUACUAGCUGUUCGGACUUCGGUCUGAGUGGCUAAGCGAAAGUGAUAAGUAACCCACCUGGGGAGUACGUUCGCAAGAAUGAAACUCAAAGGAAUUGACGGGGGCCCGCACAAGCGGUGGAGCAUGUGGUUUAAUUCGAUGAUACGCGAGGAACCUUACC
rnacentral:rRNA from 1 species